rnacentral:tmRNA from 1 species
GCUGUCUUUCAGCUAUGGUAAUAAAUGGACAAUGAAAUAAACCAAUUGGACCCGGGGGCGGUACCCGGCGCCUCCACCA